rnacentral:rRNA from 1 species
AGUGAACGCUGGCGGUAGGCCUAACACAUGCAAGUCGAACGGCAGCACAGUAAGAGCUUGCUCUUACGGGUGGCGAGUGGCGGACGGGUGAGGAAUACAUCGGAAUCUACUUUUUCGUGGGGGAUAACGUAGGGAAACUUACGCUAAUACCGCAUACGACCUACGGGUGAAAGCAGGGGAUCUUCGGACCUUGCGCGAUUGAAUGAGCCGAUGUCGGAUUAACUAGUUGGCGGGGUAAAGGCCCACCAAGGCGACGAUCCGUAGCUGGUCUGAGAGGAUGAUCUGCCACACUGGAACUGAGACACGGUCCAGACUCCUACGGGAGGCAGCAGUGGGGAAUAUUGGACAAGGGGCGCAAGCCUGAUCCAGCCAUACCGCGUGGGUGAAGAAGGCCUUCGGGUUGUAAAGCCCUUUUGUUGGGAAAGAAAAGCAGCAGGUUAAUACCCCGCUGUUCUGACGGUACCCAAAGAAUAAGCACCGGCUAACUUCG